GUCUAUUUUAAGAUAGUGUUGCUGCUAAUAGGUCUCACAUUAGUCUUUAAAUGCGUAUUUGCACAUUAUGAGUGCUUAAACUAAUAUUUACAAUACACAAGUUGGUUUAGUGCCAAGUGCAGUGGCAACACGUAACAAUGUGGAGAGUCCCCAAA